rnacentral:rRNA from 1 species
GAUGAACGCUGGCGGCGUGCCUAAUACAUGCAAGUCGAGCGAACGGACGAGAAGCUUGCUUCUCUGAUGUUAGCGGCGGACGGGUGAGUAACACGUGGAUAACCUACCUAUAAGACUGGGAUAACUUCGGGAAACCGGAGCUAAUACCGGAUGAUAUUUUGAACCGCAUGGUUCAAAAGUGAAAGACGGUCUUGCUGUCACUUAUAGAUGGAUCCGCGCUGCAUUAGCUAGUUGGUAAGGUAACGGCUUACCAAGGCAACGAUGCAUAGCCGACCUGAGAGGGUGAUCGGACACACUGGAACUGAGACACGGUCCAGACUCCUACGGGAGGCAGCAGUAGGGAAUCUUCCGCGAUGGGCGAAAGCCUGACGGAGCAACGCCGCGUGAGUGAUGAAGGUCUUCGGAUCGUAAAACUCUGUUAUUAGGGAAGAACAUAUGUGUAAGUACCUGUGCACAUCUUGACGGUACCUAAUCAGAAAGCCACGGCUAACUACGUG